AGUGAACGCUGGCGGUAGGCCUAACACAUGCAAGUCGAACGGCAGCACAGUAAGAGCUUGCUCUUACGGGUGGCGAGUGGCGGACGGGUGAGGAAUACAUCGGAAUCUACUUUUUCGUGGGGGAUAACGUAGGGAAACUUACGCUAAUACCGCAUACGACCUACGGGUGAAAGCAGGGGAUCUUCGGACCCUGCGCGAUUGAAUGAGCCGAUGUCGGAUUAGCUAGUUGGCGGGGUAAAGGCCCACCAAGGCGACGAUCCGUAGCUGGUCUGAGAGGAUGAUCAGCCACACUGGAACUGAGACACGGUCCAGACUCCUACGGGAGGCAGCAGUGGGGAAUAUUGGACAAUGGGCGCAAGCCUGAUCCAGCCAUACCGCGUGGGUGAAGAAGGCCUUCGGGUUGUAAAGCCCUUUUGUUGGGAAAGAAAAGCGGCAGGUUAAUACCCCGCUGUUCUGACGGUACCCAAAGAAUAAGCACCGGCUAACUUCGUG
rnacentral:rRNA from 1 species